UGAUUAGUACGAAAAGUUAUUUUAUUUAGUUUAUUUAUCCAGCAAGCCCAUGUGGUUUGUGUGUUUUGUCUGUUUGGAUUCCACGCUUGACAUUUUCCGCCAGUGCUCUUAUCAGAGAACAGCACACACAUGGACCCAAAUGCGCUCCUAAUUAAGGCUUGCUUCAAAAAUCCAGGUCACGUGUAUUUGCUUGCCUGAUUAUAGUUUGUUUUUUCUGUUUUUCUGUUCUGUGGCGGCGUCAGCUGCAUUCAACUAAUCAGAUUCUUUUCAUGCCCCGGCUGAUAAGAGGGUCUGUCCCCCGGGUCUCCCUUAUCGCUGCACUUUGUAUCUGGCAGACACAAAGCCCAAACAAAAGUGAAAUGAUAAGCAAGGGCAACUGCAAAAUGCAGCAACCAGUAGUAGGGUAGCAGCAGAAGACUCAAAAUGUGGCAACUGGCAGUGUCUAACUGGCAGCUCGCUAAUCCGCCUCCGACAGACAGCUUUUCAGCAAAAAAGAGUGAAAUUUCAGUUUCGGUUCAGGCAACUGUCAAGGUUGAACAGGAAGGCCGCUUGUCCAGCUUUGACAAAAUAAGCUUCUAAAAUUUCGAAAAAAAAAAUCUGGGAAAAUGAUAAACCAUAAAAGAUUAAAUUUUAAGUAGAAAAACUAUAAGAAAACAUUGUAAAUUAUUCAAAGAAUAAAACUGUCCAUAAUAUAAGACAUUUUAUGAUAAUAAAAAUAAACUUUAACCCCAAAAA